CCGGGGCCUUCCUAAAUGGAAACCUUUCCUCUCCCAGGCUCAAAUUCAAAGCAUUCACAGAGGUCAGGGAGAUCUUGGGGUCCUGGAGAGGAAAGGGGUGUCCCUCCUCUCUGCACCCUAUCUGGGUGUGGGGGAACUGUCAUCUCAUUCAAAGUCUGUCACCCUUCACCUUUUCUCUUACUUUUUUUUGCGGGGGGAGGAGGAGGACUAUCACCGAUGUCCUCGGGCAGAGGUCUGUCCCCUCGGUUUCCACUCGGGUUCCCGAGGGCGUGGAAAGCCGGACAGUAGCUUAGGGACAGUUCAGAACCAGACGAGAACAGCGGAGACAGAUGUACUGGCCCGCGCGGCUUCGCUGUCCGAGAUCCGCCUGUACUUUCCCAAGCCUGGGACCCAGGCGGGCCGGAGCAUCAGCAAACACCUCUCCAAGGCCGAGAGCGUUGGGCGCCGAAGGGCUGCAGGCACCACAGGGGACGGAGGUCCUCGAGCUGAGCCUACAAGAUUCCAUCCAAACCAGUCCUGCAGGUCUGGCCUCUGACUCAGGCUUUUCUGCACCUAGAGGAAGUCCAAGCUGUCCUGGCUUUGAGAGAAAAUGACUGUCAGGCCUGGGGGCAUCGGGUCUAUGCACUGGAGACUCUGCCUGAAUGCCUGAAUGCUGGAGGGAGAACAGAGAGCUCUGAGUCUGUAUAGCAUGCCCAUUCUGCACUCGGGAAGGAGCCAGGGAGGAGGAACUACCUUCUUGGGCCACAUGGACUGUCCAAAGGCCUUCAAAGAUCAAGAAGGAGAGAUUGGAACCUUGAGAAGGCCUGGGUCCAGGACUCCUCCGUCAAACGCAGGAAGGGAGGGGAGCAGCAAUGAUCACUUCCAUGCAGAUGCCACUCAAGCCUAUGCUUACCCUGACCUCUUUUCUGAGCUUCUGAUGACUAUUUGGCCUGGAUAUCUUACUGCCUGCUUGAAUUGAACAAAUGUCAAACCGAACUUGGCAUCUUCUCUCCCUUUCACUCCCCAAGCCUACUCCUCUAUGUCACCAAUCUUCCCCCCACCCCCACCCCAGUCUCUGUGUUUGAAAAUGGCAUUAUCUUAAAAUUUCCCAUUUUUGCUCUCCUUUACCUGGUAUAGCAUCUUGAGUGCUGGACUUGGAGCCUGGAAGACCUGGGUCCAAAUCCCAGCUCUGCCACGUAUGGAUAACACUUAUCUAUAUGACUUCUGGUAAGUCACUUAACCUCUCUGAGACUCAGUUUCCUCUUCUGUAAAAUCAGGGAUUGGGAGAGACUGCAAGACAGCUCUAGUUCUGAGAUAUUAGGUACAACUCCUUUCUGGUAUGGAGGUGAAGGGGAAAGAGGCAUUUGGUUGUUGCCCACUCCCUUCUUAGUACUCAUUCCUCUCCAGUUCUAGGACAGAAUUGUUUUCUGAUUUUCCUUCCUUUCUAAUCAUUCCUUCUCUGUCCAGUUCAAUGGUUCUCCCCCCUUACAAGCAGAAUGUAGCAUUCAAGAACCUUCAUAGAUGGGUACCAAUCUACCUUUCUUCUUUAAAAAAAUGUUUCACAUGUCUAAAAAAACUCAUCAGUUUCCAAUGUGACUCUCUCCCCAAAAGAACUCUCCCCGGUAACAAAGAAAAAGCCAAGCUAAUCAAACCACCACUCACCAUGCAUUUGUAGCAUCUUUACACCUCUAGUCCACCAGCUCAGGAACAAGAAAAAGGAGGUCCAUUUCAUCAUAACCCCCUGGAAUCAAGACUAGUCAUUAAAUUUAUCUGGAUUCUUACAUCUUUUAGUUCCAAAGCAAUUUCCUGGUAUUGUUUCACAUCACUCUGUUCACAAUCAGACUGGUUAUGCCUAUUGGUUGACGAUUAGAUUGAUAUGAGCUUUCGAUUGCCCUCCAUCCUUCAAAAAUUUUCAGUAUAAUCCUCCACUCCGUCCUCCCUGUAUCUGAUCACAAAAGAGGAAUCCCUAUUCCUUACUACGGCAGAGCUCUACCUGAACCUGUGACCCUUUUUCUUCCUGACUUCUUUAGGAUCUUGCUACUGUAUUUGUCCUUUCCCAUCCCUUGGCCCUUCUGCUGAAUCCUAAUACUAUCCCACGUCUUCCCUUUCACAGUCAAAAUUCUUGAAAAAGCUGUCUAUGCCCAAUGCCUCCGCUUCCAUGCCAUCCAAUAGCUAUCAUUUCUUCUAUAGCAUUUCUUUUUUAAUAAGUUAAUUUAUUUUUAGUUUUCAACAUUCACUUCCUUAAGUUUUAAAUUUUCUCCCUCUCCCCAAGAUGGCAUGCAAUCCUGUAGCAUCUCUUCUAUAUGACUUCUCUCCUCUGAUAUUGUCAUCACUCGAGUUUGAGUUCCUAUCAUCUCAUGUCAGUCCUCCCUCAUCACAGUGCCUUCUUUCAAUUUACCCUGUAUAUAUCCUUUGUUCAUAGUUUACGUGUAGACUUUCCCAUUAGACUGGGGGCUCCUAGAGAGCAGGGACUGUUUCCUUGUAUCCCUAGAGCUUAGCAAGUGACUGGCAUGUAGUAGGGGCUUAACAAAUGCUAGCUGACUGUCCCUACAACUCUGCUGAAACUGUGGUCUUAAAGGUCACCAAUAACCCCUGAAUCCCCAAAUCCAAUUGCCUUUUUUAUUCAGUCAUCAACCCUCCCCUCUCUGCAGUUUUCGAAACUGUUGAAAUUCUGUCCCAUUGAAUAUUCUCUCUUUCCUUGGCUUGAGGCACCACCCUCUCCUGGUUCUUCUCUCUGAGCCUCAGUUUCCUCAUCUGAAAAAUGAGGGGAUUGGACUAGAUGUCUCUAAGGUCCCUUCUAGCUCUAAAUCUCUAGUCCUCUUGUUAAUAACUUUAUUUAGCAUGUUAAGGUUUGCAAAGCACUUUCUGUACAACACUUUCAGCCACUGAGUGUAUUAUUUUCAUUUUACAGAUGAGGAAACUGAGGCACAACAAAGUUAAGUGGCUUGCCAUAGAGCUAGUGAGGAUCAGAAGUAGGAUUUGAACCCAGGUAACCUGGACUCCAGAUUUAGCCAGCUUUGCUCUACACCAAGUGUCUGGUUCAGGAGUCAAAUGCAGAUUUCUUAAUUUCAAGUCCUACUCCCCAUCCCUCCCAUACUCUUUCCAUUAUACACCAAACCACUUUGCCUCUAAUCAUUCCUUCUCUGCCUAUCCUGGGUCCUCUUUGCUUUGCCCCAUACGCUUUCCCUUUGUUUGCUCUCAUCACAACCACCAAGUCUAUGCAGACUACUUCUGAACCUGCCUCUCUAGCCCUGAUCUUCUUUCUAUCUAGACUCACUGGAUUGGAAGUCAAAGUGCUGAUAGAAUUCAGGAAGGGUAGGGACUCCUUUAUUUUGUCUUUCUAUCCUUAAAUGUUGGUAUGGUUUCUAUCCUGAAUGAUGUUGGGCAUACAGUAAGUACUUAAUAAAUGCUUGAUUUAAAUCCCUACCCUGACACCAUCUAGCUGCCUGGCCUUGGGCAAGUUACUUAACCUUUGUGAGCCUCAUUUCUUCCUGUUUUGUAAAAUUCAGAGGGUGACUGAUCAAGAUUUGGUCCUAUUGCUCACUGCUAGCGCCAUCUUGGAUCACCUGGGAUGAUCCAAGGUUUCAAAGAUUAUUGGUGACCUUUAAGAGAGCAGUUUCAGUAGAGCUGUAGGGACAGUCAACUAGCAUUUAUUAACCACUUGGAUUGACUGGGGAGGCCUCCCAAAUACAUCAAUUUCAGGAGUGAUGUUAUAUUUGGAGUCAGAGGAUCUAGAUUCAAAUCUUGGCUCACAGAGGCAGCUUAUUGCUGUGUUACC